rnacentral:rRNA from 1 species
UACGUAGGGGGCUAGCGUUGUCCGGAAUCAUUGGGCGUAAAGCGCGCGUAGGCGGCCCGGUAAGUCCGUUGUGAAAGUCAAAGGCUCAACCUUUGAAAGCCGAUGGAUACUGCCGGGCUGGAGUCCGGAAGAGGCGAGUGGAAUUCCUGGUGUAGCGGUGGAAUGCGCAGAUAUCAGGAGGAGCACCAAUAGCGAAGGCAGCUCGCUGGGACGGUACUGACGCUGAGGCGCGAAAGCGUGGGUAGCAAACAGG